rnacentral:lncRNA from 1 species
GUAGUGUUCAUCAACUGCUUGUUGUUUGAGUUUUGGAUUUCACUCUUCUCUUCAAGGAAUAAAUAUUGGAUGGAUUGAGUCUUGGAGCAAAAGAAAGGGACUUGGAGCCGAUUGGAUGCAAAAAUAUGAAGAUUGAGAGACAAAAAUAUGUCUCCCCACAGUCAGAAGCUUUGCACGGCCUGUGCUAGCCUUGGCACGGCCGUGCCACCCUCCAGAGUGCCUUUUGCUGCUUUUUGCUUAGAUUUUAAGCUACUCUAUUUUUAGCCCAAAUGUAAUUGCUUAGAUUUUAAGUCAAGUGUAUGCUAUAAAUAUAGUAGCCAUCCAUCACAAAUCUUCAUCUUUACUUGGAAUACAAUAAGUGACAAUUGCUUUUCUAAUUAAA